UUCUGCAUCAGCUACCAACAGCAAGAUCAUCACCUAUGUGAGGAGGUACCUUCACUAUGUCCCAUCAAGAGAAUACGAUUUCAAUUUGUUUUAUUACUGAAGACAAGCCAGAGCCAGGGAGGAUGAGGGAAGGUGGAGGACAUGCACCUGGACUGAGGCUGAGGCUGAGGGGCAACCAUGUGUGUCCUUUCUUUACACUUUUCUUACAACACAGUUGCACCUGGCAGAAACACCCAGAACAGCUCAUCGAGUGAGUCCCCUCCUGAGACACUGGUAUAUAAAGA